GGCAGGGCGGGGCCGGGGCACUGGUGAUUGGAAGCCUGGUGGGCGGGGCCCAGGACCUCCCUGCCCUCUCCGCCAUUAACUCGGAGCCCGGCGCAGUGGAAAGCGGGCCAAGAAGCAGAGGUCCAGGUUCCAACUCUUGAUUCUAUCACAAAACACUGCACCCGAGGCAGCCAGGCAGCUUCCGAAGACCUCAUUCUCCUAAACACAUCCAUUCCUGUU
rnacentral:lncRNA from 1 species